AUUGAACGCUGGCGGCAGGCCUAACACAUGCAAGUCGAACGAGCGGCGGACGGGUGAGUAAUGUAUGGGGACUGCCCGAUAGAGGGGGAUAACAACUGGAAACGGUGGCUAAUACAGCAUACUGUCGGAUAACCCAUAUGGGAUUAGCUAGUGGGUAGGGUAAUGGCUUACCUAGGCGACGAUCCCUAGCUGGUCUGAGAGGAUGAUCAGCCACACUGGGACUGAGACACGGCCCAGACUCCUACGGAGGCAGCAGUGGGGAAUAUUGCACAAUGGGCGCAAGCCUGAUGCAGCCAUGCCGCGUGUAUGAAGAAGGCCUUAGGGUUGUAAAGUACUUUCAGUCGGGAGGCGUUACCCGCAGAAGAAGCACCGGCUAACUCCGUGCCAGCAGCCGCGGUAAUAC
rnacentral:rRNA from 1 species